GCGCAAGCGUGUCGGGUCUAGGCUGUUAGCAGCGCUGCUGGGUGCCGCGCAGGGUUUUAGGCGCCUGUUGCUCCAAACGCAGGCACUGUGGGAAUCGGGCAAGUCACCUGGGGUAAUGAGAAAUGCAGAAAUCCAAAUCGGACCCUUAAGGGAGGUCCACAGAGAAAGUAACAAAUAAACCUUGUUCUAAGCACUUCGAGACUAUUGUCUAAUUCACAUCUAUGAGGCCUGUAAAGGACACACUUUAUAACCAUUUCACAAACGACGAGAUGGAAGCACAAAGAAUGGUUUGUUCAGAGUCCUCCACGAUGUACUGGUGGUAGGGGUCCUGGGAAUGCUCCCGCCACUUCGACUUCACCGUGCUUACCAGGAUGGCCACCACAAUGAAGGAGAACAUGCCAAUCAUCACCAUGAGGUAGAGGAUGACGUAGUAGAAGUUCUCAGCAUCGACUCUGGCCUGAAGCGCCUGUUCUUCGGCU